rnacentral:rRNA from 1 species
UGGGGGAUAUUGGACAAUGGGGGAAACCCUGAUCCAGCAACGCCGCGUGAAUGAAGAAGGCUUUAGGGUUGUAAAGUUCUUUUGUCCUGGAGCAAAGUUACGCUAUGAAUAGUAGAGUAAGAUGAGAGUACAGGAAGAAUAAGCACCGGCUAACUACGUGCCAGCAGCCGCGGUAAUACGUAGGGUGCGAGCGUUAAUCGGAAUAACUGGGCGUAAAGAGUGCGUAGGCGGAUAUACAAGUUAGAUGUGAAAUGUCUGAGCUUAACUUGGGAAUGGCAUUUAAGACUGUAUGUCUAGAGUUAGUAUGAGGAUGGGGGAAUUCCGAGUGUAGCAGUGAAAUGCGCAGAGAUUCGGAGGAAUAUCAGUGGCGAAGGCGCCCAUCUGGGAUAUAACUGACGCU